AGUGAAGUUGUAUACUUAUAAUCUUGUUACGUUCUUUCAUUAUAGUCUGCAUUCGAUCGUAGAACUCUCCAAAACGCUGAUUGAAUUCUAAAUACUGGCUAAGAGUAAUGUUUCCUCUGUGAUACAGAAGCUCUGGAUUCCCAAAGCCUCAGGACCUAACUGAUAUCAGGCACUAUGCUCAUUCUACAAAGAGAUCAUGUUUGCAGAGUACUGACCACCAUCCAGGAAGAGAAGCUUUGUUUCUGAUGAGGUAAUGAUGAGGUAACGCUUGCCCUAGGGCAGGAGGCAGCUGAGGACAUUUUCAUGUAAUGUAGUGAGUGCUUUGUGUCCAUAAAGGUAAAGACUGCUGGGAGAGGUGCGAUGCUCUGCUCAGGGGACACCUCAGAAAGGAGAGGCUAGAGUCUGUUUUCUAGAAAGCAGAACUCUAGAACAGCCCUAAAGAUUGAAUAGGCGUAUAAGGG
rnacentral:lncRNA from 1 species